rnacentral:rRNA from 1 species
AAGCAACGCGAAGAACUACCAAGACUGACAUCCCCUGACAGCUGUUGAAAGGCAGUGUCUCUUCGGAGCAGGGAGGACAGGUGGUGCAUGGUUGUCGUCAGCUCGUGUCGUGAGAUGUUGGGUUAAGUCCCGCAACGAGCGCAACCCUUAUCCUUAGUUACCAGCACGUAAAGGUGGGGACUCUAGGGAGACCGCCGGGGACGACUCGGAGGAAGGUGGGGACGACGUCAAAUCAUCAUGCCCCUUAUGUCUUGGGCUACACACGUGCUACAAUGGCCGCAACAGAGGGAAGCGAGAGCGCAAGCUGGAGCAAAACCCUAAAAAGCGGUCCCAGUUCGGAUUGUGGGCUGCAACCCGCCCACAUGAAGUCGGAGUUGCUAGUAAUCGCGAAUCAGCAUGUCGCGGUGAAUGCGUUCCCGGGCCUU